GUAGUCCCGGCUGUAAACGGUGCACGUUUGCUGUAAGAGGAAUCGACCCCUUUUGUGGCGAAGCUAACGCGCUAAACGUGCCGCCUGGGGAGUACGGUCGCAAGAUUAAAACUCAAAGAAAUUGACGGGGCCUGCACAAGCGGUGGAGUAUGUGGCUUAAUUCGAUGCAACGCGAAGAACCUUACCUGGCCUUGACAUGCACGUAGUAGAAGUGUGAAAGCAUAACGAUCCCGCAAGGGAAGCGUGCACAGGUGCUGCAUGGCUGUCGUCAGCUCGUGUCGUGAGAUGUUGGGUUAAG
rnacentral:rRNA from 1 species